UACGAAGGGGGCUAGCGUUGCUCGGAAUUACUGGGCGUAAAGCGCACGUAGGCGGCUUUCUAAGUCGGAGGUGAAAUCCUGGAGCUCAACUCCAGAACUGCCUUCGAUACUGGAGAGCUUGAGUCCGGGAGAGGUGAGUGGAACUGCGAGUGUAGAGGUGAAAUUCGUAGAUAAUCGCAAGAACACCAGUGGCGAAGGCGGCUCACUGGCCCGGUACUGACGCUGAGGUGCGAAAGCGUGGGGAGCAAACAGG
rnacentral:rRNA from 1 species